rnacentral:rRNA from 1 species
CCCGCACGAGCGCAACCCCGCCGUUAGUUGCCAGCGGUUCGGCCGGGCACUCUAACGGGACUGCCCGCGAAAGCGGGAGGAAGGAGGGGACGACGUCUGGUCAGCAUGGCCCUUACGGCCUGGGCGACACACGUGCUACAAUGCCCACUACAAAGCGAGGCCACCCGGCAACGGGGAGCUAAUCGCAAAAAGGUGGGCCCAGUUCGGAUUGGGGUCUGCAACCCGACCCCAUGAAGCCGGAAUCGCUAGUAAUCGCGGAUCAGCCAUGCCGCGGUGAAUACGUUCCCGGGCCUU